GACGAACGCUGGCGGCGUGCUUAACACAUGCAAGUCGAACGGAAAGGCCCUGCUUUUGUGGGGUGCUCGAGAGGCGAACGGGUGAGUAACACGUGAGUAACCUGCCCUUGACUUUGGGAUAACUUCAGGAAACUGGGGCUAAUACCGGAUAGGAGCUCCUGCUGCAUGGUGGGGGUUGGAAAGUUUCGGCGGUUGGGGAUGGACUCGCGGCUUAUCAGCUUGUUGGUGGGGUAGUGGCUUACCAAGGCUUUGACGGGUAGCCGGCCUGAGAGGGUGACCGGCCACAUUGGGACUGAGAUACGGCCCAGACUCCUACGGGAGGCAGCAGUGGGGAAUAUUGCACAAUGGGCGGAAGCCUGAUGCAGCAACGCCGCGUGCGGGAUGACGGCCUUCGGGUUGUAAACCGCUUUCGCCUGUGACGAAGCGUGAGUGACGGUAAUGGGAAAAGAAGCACCGGCUAACUACGUG
rnacentral:rRNA from 1 species